GGUGUCCAGUGCCAACGACCCGUUAUCCAGUUUUGUCAGCCUGUCAUAGGUUACCUGGAUAGUGUAAAUUAUUGAAAUUAUUUAAGCAUAUUAGCAGUUAAAAACAUUAGAAAGUAUUAAAUAAAAUGUGAAAAAGAGAUUAGCAAUAGAAACAUAACAAAAAUAUAAUUUGCAAAAUCGUAGAGAGACCUCAAAUACAAUACUCCUAGAAUAAAAUGUAUAUUGAAUAUUAUUACUGUAAGGCUAUAAACUCAGUACUUCCAAAGAGGAACGAAUUAGCAUAUAAGAUAGUUAAUACUAGAAAUGUCAUUUUAAAUCAAAUUGAUACUUGAAUAUUUAGAAUGCUUGAUUCUUUUUUUAUUUGUAUAUAUUAUUUCUUG
rnacentral:misc_RNA from 1 species